UACGUAGGGUGCGAGCGUUGUCCGGAAUUAUUGGGCGUAAAGAGCUUGUAGGCGGUUUGUCGCGUCUGCUGUGAAAUCUCAAGGCUCAACCUUGAGCUUGCAGUGGGUACGGGCAGACUAGAGUGUGGUAGGGGAGACUGGAAUUCCCGGUGUAGCGGUGAAAUGCGCAGAUAUCGGGAGGAACACCAGUAGCGAAGGCGGCUCGCUGGGCCAUUCCUGACGCUGAGGAGCGAAAGCGUGGGGAGCGAACAGG
rnacentral:rRNA from 1 species